AUGUCCCCCAUGCUAAUGUUGAUAUCCUGGGAGCUUUGGAAGGAACGGAAUGCGAGGGUCUUCCGCAACACCACGACUCCUUCAACAAUCAUUGUGCGCCACAUUAAGGAUGAAAUCAAUUUGUAGGUAUUAGCGGGUGCUAAGCAUUUGGGUUUUGUUGUGCCGUGAGAGUGA
rnacentral:rRNA from 1 species